rnacentral:rRNA from 1 species
CACGUAGGGCGCAAGCGUUGUCCGGAAUUAUUGGGCGUAAAGAGCUCGUAGGCGGUCUGUCGCGUCCGCUGUGAAAACUCGGGGCUUAACCCCGAGCCUGCAGUGGAUACGGGCAGACUAGAGGUAGGUAGGGGAGAAUGGAAUUCCCGGUGUAGCGGUGAAAUGCGCAGAUAUCGGGAGGAACACCGGUGGCGAAGGCGGCCUGCUGGGCAGUAGCUGACGCUGAUGCGCGACAGCGUGGGGAGCGAACAGG